AGUUCAAAGUGAACAUGCGUCAGUGCUGGUUCUUGGCCAAGAUCUAUCGUUUCACUGGCGGGACACUGGAGUCAAGCUGUUCGGUUUAGCUAAGUCCCAAUGUGCCGAGAGAGAAAAAGGGAUGCAGUUGUUUGUCGCCUCAUUGAGUACCUUGGGGAACAUCAAGAAGAUCUCAUCCAAGAUUGCUAGGAUGAAAAUGAGGACAACAUGGACUAAACCAUGAAGGUGCUUGUGAUCCAUAAUCCUGCAGCCAAGGAGCAUACAGCAGAUGUGUUGAUUGCGAUGGAGGGAAACAAAGUGCUGAACGUGUGUGGAAACCGAACCAAGGCAUGUGUGCUGUUGAUGGGAUUGAUCUACGCUCUCAAACUUCAGUAUUCCAAGAAGCUGGAGUAUACUUAAAGUAUUUCAGAAACUCUUUUGGUGCUUGACAGAGCAAAGCUGCUCAAGAAGGUCCAGAGCCUCAAAAGUAAGCUAAUGAUGAACUGUUUGUCACCGUAUUCAGGCACAGACUGUUUCCUGGGAACUUACUGUUGGUGCUGAAGAAUGCUCACUUUACAAUGCAGUCAGACAAUUUCAUCUCCCAAAGAGCAGUCUCACAUUGAAAUUCACUACAUUCAAAUAAUGCAUAUCAUCUCAUGGAUCAAUGUUAUUCAAAAGAUACAUAUUGGUUGAGCAAGGACUGAACUCAGUGUGUUUCUGACUGGUACUAGGCUGUCAAUUCAUUUAACCAAAGGGACACGCUGUUGAGAUGUGGAAAAUGCUGUUUUUUGUUCAGGCACAGACUGACUGGUUAUCUUCAACAAUCCCAUAAGGCUUUGCAAAUAUCUGCAUAUGUUCCUCAAACAUAAAAAAAUGUAAGAUGUUCAUGUUUGGUAUAACAAACAAACUGGAAUCCACAUAUGAAGGGUUUAAGAAACUUGUUUCAG